UACGUAGGGCGCAAGCGUUGUCCGGAGUUACUGGGCGUAAAGCGCACGCAGGCGGUCUGCUAAGUUUGGAGUGACAGUUGGUGGCUUAACUGCCAAAGUGCUUCGAAAACUGACAGACUUGAGGGCUUCAGAGGGACACGGAAUUCCGGGUGGAGUGGUGAAAUGCGUAGAGAUCCGGAGGAACACCAAAGGCGAAGGCAGUGUCCUGGGGAGUACCUGACGCUCAGGUGCGAAAGCCAGGGGAGCGAACGGG
rnacentral:rRNA from 1 species